CGAAUGUUGAUGUUAAUGGAGGUGUGGCCUAGCAGCUCCACCCCUUUUGUUGCAGCUAGCAUGCAGCAGAAGAAGCCCUUUCACUGUAAGAGCAUCACCAGCUCUUUAAAGGUUUCCUGCUUUUCUUUGGCUGCUCUUUGCUUAGUCUCUUAUUGGAACAGUUUAUCCUGUGGGCUGGUACAUGAUGACAUCUUCUCUAUUGUAGAAAAUGGCGACGUUAGACCAGGAGACACACCCCUGAGCAAUCUCCUGAGGAAUGACUUUUGGGGGAAACCAAUGAGCGAUCCUACCAGUCACAAGUCAUACAGACCACUCACCACACUGAGCUUUAGACUCAACUACUGGUUGCAUGAGCUGGACCCAGUAGGCUAUCAUGCAGUCAACAUGCUCCUUCAUUAUUUGUGUACUGUGUUAUUUUAUUGGCUCGCAAGGAGCGUUGUGCUAUCUAACACAAUUAACAAGGAGAGCUAUUCGUUUAUGAUGUCUGCUUUAUUUGCUGUUCAUCCCAUUCACACUGAAGCUGUAACUGGUGUUGUAGGAAGGGCUGAUGUUUUGUCCUGCCUGUUCUUUCUAUUGAGCUUUCUUUGUUAUUAUUACUCUAUACACGAGAAAUCAAGCAAAUUAAUGUUUUUUAUUAAGCUGAUAUGCUGCUUGAUAUUUGGUUGCUGCUCUAUGUUUUCAAAAGAACAUGGUAUAACUGUAUUUGGGAUAUGUAUCCUGUAUGAGCUAUACAGUCUACUCCAAUCAAGAACAAGGUUCGGAUCCUCUCUUACCAUUAGCCACUCAGCUAUCAUUAGGACACUGGUCCUCACAAUCGGAACUGUUUUGUUAAUCGCCUUUCGCUUAUCGAUGCUCUCAGGAAUGCUACCCCAGUUCUCCUCUUAUGAUAAUCCAGCCUCAUUCUCAGACUCUUUACUCACAAAACUCCUGACCUACUCCUACUUGUGUUACUUCAAUGCACAGCUGUUGGUGUAUCCAUCAAUCCUUUCCUAUGACUGGCAAAUGGGUAGUAUUCCAUUAGUGGAAUCAUUAGGAGAUAUUAGGAAUAUCAGCACAUGUGUUUUCAUACUUUAUCUGACUGGUUUGGCUUCCCUACCACUUAGAAAAUUUGCUAAAGACAGUGAUGUCAUUUUUCUUGGUUUGAUACUAAUGGUAGUGCCCUUCGUCCCAGCAUCUAAUUUAUUUAUAAGAGUUGGUUUCGUGGUCGCAGAGAGAAUAUUGUACAUACCAAGUUUGGGUUAUUGUGUCCUUGUUGUUCAUGGUUUAAAGAUUCUUGGUAACACGAUAUCAUUAAGAUAUCACAUCAAAUCAAUCGAUAAGAUAUUAUUUCUUGUCAUUAUAAUCACUUAUAUACUGCGUACUGUGGACAGGAACCCAGUUUGGAAAACAAGAGAGAGUCUAUUCAGGUCUGGUGUUGAAACUCUGCCUCAUAACUCAAAGGCACAUUAUAAUUAUGCUAAUUAUCUGAAAGACACUGGGCAAACAGACUCUGCCGUUCAUCACUAUCGUGAAGCCAUCAAGCUCACUGAAGAUCAUUCAAGUGCUCAUAACAAUAUGGCAACAUUGCUAAAUGGGCCUGAAGCUUUAUAUCACCUCAAUGAGGCCAUUAGACAUAACCGGAGACAUUUCAAAGCCUUUUUUAAUCUGGCUAAUGAGAUGUGGAAUUUAGGAAAUAAAGAGAAAGCUGAAGAGCUUUAUAAGGAAAGCAUAAAAAUUAAUCCCAAUUACACAGAUGCUUUGAUUAAGCUUUCAAGCCUGCUAGUGUCAUUGGGUAGGAAUGACGAAGCUAUCCUGUUUGUUUCUCAAUCGGUGAAACUCAAAGACAAUGAGCCAGAUGUUCUUCAUAACUCUGCAGCUGUAUUGAUGAUGGCAGGCAACGUGUCGUGGAGCAUCUCUUUAUGGAGGAAAGUACUUUCCUUGAAUCCAACUCACUCUGAAGCGAUGGCUGGGCUAGCGAGAGCUCUUCGUUCGUUGGGAGAGAAUAAUGAAGCUGAGGAGUUGUUUAAAAGGUCCCUCUUGAUUGCUCCUAAAGCAUCAGUAUAUCAAUCACUAGCUGGUCUCUAUUACAAUACUGGCAGGUGGAGAGAGAGUCACAGUCUAUUCAAAAAGGCGUUGGAUAUGGAACCAGACAACACUGACAUACUUUGUAGUUAUGCACAAGUUUCAAAUAGCCUAGAGGAGAAAGAAGUCUUAGAAAGGCUCAUACUGGUUCAUCCAGACUCAUUUUGUCUCUACAUCAACAUUGCGGGCAUCUUUGUCAAACAAAAGUUGGAACUACACCAGGCUCUUACUUAUUCACUAAAAGCUACUCAAAUAGCAGCUACAGACAAGGAGAGAUAUGAUGCCUACAAUCUUCAUGGAACAAUACUCAAAGACACUCAAAAUCUCUCAGAUUCAGCAAAGAACUUUGAGAAAGCUGCUGCCAUCUUCCCUGAUGCUGUGGGCACUUGGAUAAACCUGGGAGCUAUAAUGCAUCUUUUGGGUGACUACAGGAAAGCAGAGGUCUUUUAUAGAAAGGCUCAAUCACUUGAUCCCCAAAACACUAUUGUGCUGGGGAAUUUGAAAAAAUUGCAAUCUUUACAAGCAAAGAAGCACUGAAAAGCAAUGAUGACUUUAUCAUUUUUAUUUUAUGAGUGAGAUUUAUUUAUACAUAUUUAUUUUAUUUAUAAGGGGAAGCACAUUGGCUGCUUUACUGCAAACCAAAGCAGUGGUGUAUAUUAUAAUUUUUAAAGAAUUUCUUAAUGUUAAGAGAAUGGAUCGAAUGCUGUAUUUUUAUUCAUUCACUCUAUCAAUUAUAUGUGCUUUAAUUGAAUUACAACCAUUAGCAGUAGUCUCACUAUGCUAUGGUUGCAGCCAAAUAACGCAUGCUCACUUGGCCACACCUUUUCUGAGUCCUAAGAUUUGUAUAAAAGAACUGAGGCUAGUCUCCUGCUGAUAUAGACUUGUGUGAAAAGAAAUCCUUAAGAAAAACCCAAGCUAAAAGAUGGUACCUGCAAGAAUCGGGAACCUGGCACUACUCUUGUGCAUUUUAUCUGUUUUCUGUGAACAAUGUAUCGGAUGCGGACCAAUUGCCCGGCCUUGCAUCGAUACAAGUGUUGUCACUCAUGCCAGUGGAAGUAUCAAGAAAUACGUCAAUGGCUCAAUAGCGACACCUCUUACUAGCCAUGGAGGCAUAUUCUCUAGCAAUUCUUCUUUUAUAAGAUGGAGGGUAAUGCGAAGCUCUGAGUGCCAUACGAAAAAGAUGUUUUUUGUUAUAUCUACAAUGUCGGAAGGGGAUUUCAUGCAGGCUGACCGUAUUCGCUAUGCAGGUCACAUGUGCAGUGUCCGAAAUUUUACAUCCAAGCGCUCGGUUCUUUUUGGGAUGUCAAAAUCUGAGAACACCACGUCAAACUUUAGGGUCGGCUACAUCUGCCCUACACAGAAUUCUGAUGGAAUGGCUCAUGAAAUGUACAAGUGUCCAUUGCUAUGGAAUUAUGCUAUGUCUGAUGACGAAACUUUUAAAAGAUUAGUGGAAUUCCUUAGAAUUAAUACGCAGAAAGAAAGUGUGGAUGUUUUAAAGAAUCCUGGAAGCAGCCAUUUGUGCAGAAUUUUCAAGCUUGCAAAGACAGCCUGCAACUUAGAGACAUUCAAUAUUGCUGUGACAGACAAUUGCUAGUGGCAAAAUUAUUUUUAUAACCCAAACACAGUUUAGCAGAACAAAUGCAUCAAUGUGCAUGGAUCAUUGUCUUGUCUUUAUGGCUAAUUAUUAUGUGUAUAAGUGAAAUCAAAACAUUAAUAAAUAAA
rnacentral:misc_RNA from 1 species